UCAGUUAAAAUCUAUAUAGUCAUUGUAAAAUCUACGGAGAAUGGAAUACUUUAAGUUUUAUAUCGCGAUAGUUUUAACAAAACUGUAGAUACAGACUGGAUAUUGUGGUAUUGAAAUUUCUGGAUUUGUGCAUCAAUGUAGGGUUAUAUAAGUCUUUAUUAUUACUACGGAACUAUAGUUUUUCCAUACAAUUAGUAGAAAAUAACGAACAGCAAAAUGAGAAUAUUUUCAUUUUAUCACAUACUUCGCUUCAUUUAAUUUUUAAGAGUUUUAUUUGUUGAUGAGGUGUGAAGUCGGACGUUACAAGCCAUAAGGUUAGGGUUAGGGUUAGGGUUAUAAGCCAUAGAGUUGUGUCAUUAUACUAAAACCUAUAGGACGUUACAAGCCAAAGUGUCAUAAUUCUAUAACCUAUUGCAUCUUGUUGGUUUAUUUAGCAUUAGGAUAUAAACUAAUUCGGUGACGCCUUAACAUUAAUCCUGUUUGGUGAAAUGACCAAAAUGGAGAUUCGUCCAUUUAGUAUCGCAGCUUUUAUUCUCACUGUUUUAGCCUUUAUUUUCGUGGUGGUUGGAUUUUUUCUGCCACAAUGGUGGUCGAUUAAUUCCGUGGAUACGACGAGUAGCUAUGGAUUAUGGAUUGUAUCCGAUUGUUACUAUGGUGACUGUAUUAUCCGAUCAGCAACGCAGAUACAGGGUGGAAAAGAGUUUUUGUUUGUAUGUAAAGUUUUUGAAACAUUUGGUGCUUUGUUGACAGUAUUGGCUCUGAUUCUCCAUGUUAUAUAUAUAGCUGUUAGAAAACCCAUGAUUAGAAGUAUUUCUAUAUAUUGUCUUGGUGCUACAGGUCUCUUUUUACUGUUGGCCGUCAUCAUUUUUGGCGCAAAACAUCAAGCUCUGGGCGAGGAAGGUCAACAUGUUUCUAUCGGGGCCUCGUUUUAUAUUUCACUACUAGGUGGCCUGUUGAGUGGAGUAGCCGCCCUUUUAACAGCCAAGGCUUCUGUGGAGAAAGCAAAGCGCCACGACGAAGAGGAGGACAAGACCGGGGUUUUGUAGAAAAAACAAAAUCCAAACCACAAAAAUAUUUAAAGUAUGAGAUAACACUGCGGCAGUGUGCAUUUAAUUCUUGUAUGUUGUGUUGAUGGCCAACGCUUGUUGUGUAGUUUAUCUUUAAAAAAUUAAAAAGGCUUAGCCAAUAGCAUUUUAA